ACAAGCCCCUUGCUUGCAUAAAGUAUUUAAAACCGCCUUUGAGAAAAGCUGAGAAGCUGGUGUGAGCACUCGAGUAUCGACUGCUAAUUCUUUGGUUGAAUUAAUCCCGUGAAAUUUUCCCCAACAGUAUUCUGAUGAAAUACGCGAAUACCAGGCCUGCCAAAAAUACUAUCAGAACAAAGAGUUGAGAGCAUACGUCUGUUUAUUUGUGUGCUUUUUUGGACUCCCGCACACUCUUCCUUCGACUUGCCCCGAUUCUCUCUCCUUCGUCCACCCUCUGUCGCGCAUCAAUCAAACUGCUCAUUUCAUCAUCAUCAUCAUCAUAACCUGCCGGCCAGUACCACCACCAGCCAGAAACAAAUUUUCGUCUUCUUCCCUCUAUACAAAUUUUUGGGCGACGGGUUUUAGGGGCAGUCAAUCCCCACCCCCACCAAGUAGCAGUCGUCCUCCUCCUCCACCACUACAGAUUGGGCGACGGGUUUUAGGGGCAGUCAAUCCCAACCACCACCAAGUAGCGCUAUCGUUAGAUGCUUCAAAAGUUAGGGGUUUCAAGUUGCCAAAGGGGGAAUACACAUGGAACUGAAAACUAAGGUCAAAGACGGCAAGCUCGUGCCAAUGGACAACCACCACCACUACAAAGACGUGCCAGAAAAGUAUCAUCUGCGACUGUGCUCAAGAAAAUUGACCUGCUGAGGUCAAAAUACAAUCCACCACCCCAAGGGUAAUUUUCCCGUGUAGUGAAAGGGUCUUGAAAGACUGCUUAACGAGCAAUUAAAGGUGUAGGGAAGACACGACGGAGGAAAAUACGAGUUCAUCAGCCGACAGAUAUGCAAACAGGCACUCGUCGCCUGACCUGCAGAAACUUUUACACAAUUUUUUUGACAAAUCAGAAAAGUGAUUUUUUAGUGUCAUUGGACGAAGCACUAUUUUCCCUACAAGAUAAAAAUGGUCAACGCAAAAUUUACUACUCCAGAGACUACUAAAAAAUUCGAGAAGAUUACCUAUGCCACACAGGAGAACGUUUGUAAAAAAAUUAAGGCGGCUGGCGUGAAAUCAGGUAGUGUGGUCCUUCCACAUUUCAGAGUACCCCCAAAAGUGAAGGAAACUGCGAAGUUUACUUCGUUUUGAAGCCCUUUUUUUAACGCCACGUUCCAAAACUAACCGGCAAGGAGACCUGUAAGGUGAUCGUUUAUUAUUACGUCGCGUCAUCUGGUACUACAAAGUUGACCCAGGAUUAUGCGAAGGACUUGCAGGCUAGACUGCGGAUAAAAAUCAUUUCGAAUAAGGAAACCCAUGUCAAAUCACCUGACAUAAGCCCAAUGGACUCUUCGGCUUCGGAUAUCUGGAAAGAAAAUUUUUUCUCCGUCGACUUAAAAUUUUUCGUGGAGUGUGGAAAGUUCUAUGAAAUAAAAGAGGAGUUUGGCAAAGUCGACCAGGUCAAGAAAGGUUAUAGAAACAAAGUUUAUGCAGAGAUUCAAUACACAAAUUCUCAGCCGAAUCCAUGGAAAGAAACGUAUCGAAGAUUUUGAAAAUUUGGCCCCAAAUUCAUGAACCAUUAACAUCUUCGUGUUUUCCAAAAUACUAAUGGGCUUAGGAGCUUGGAUUGUCUAUUGCAUUACUGUAUUUCAUCUAAUCGUUACAGUGCAACUGUAUAUACCAUGAUUUAUUUUCGUUAUCUAGCUGUUUUUUAAAUGCAUGUUCUUAAACUCAUUUGGAAAUGGUGCCAAUCAUGGUUUACAUUUUCUUCCGUUUUUUACGGAUUUUAUUUUCGACCAUAAUUUUCCUUGAAACCCGCUACUUUUCCUGCCAAGGUAAACUAAAAUUCGGACGACUCUAAGAUAAUCCUCGGUCAAGUAAACCAAUACUGCCAGCACUAACACCACACCAUGCCCGAUAAAUAAUAGUCCUACUGAUUCUAUAAGAUUAAUUAUCUUAAUUGAAAAGGUGUUCAACCGGUGCAGAUGAUGGGAGCUGUGUAUUGUACUAAUGAAAUAUUUCCUUAAUUGUCAGAAACGAAUCCAGCUCAUUUAAGUUUUUUAGAAAGUAAUUGAAAAAGUAAUUGAAAUCAAUUACGAUGUACUUAGAGUAUGUGGGUAAUUAAGUAUUCGUCGACUCAAUUACUUUCAAUACAAAAUGUACUUCAGUAUUAAAUAUGUGCUUUGAAACUGUUUUGCAAUAAUUGAAAUCAAUUACCAAUUACUUUGUUUUUGGUAAUUAAGUAAGUAAUGAAGUACAAAAAGUAAUUAAGUACGCAGCCCUGCCACCGAUUAGAGCAAAUAAUGCAAUUACAAAUGAACUUAAUUAAUCUAAAAUUACAUACAAUAUCAUGAAGAACAACUCUUUCUUCAUAAUCAACGAGUUAUGGUUUAGCGGUUUAGUUUAUUAGUCUGAGUUUCGGUACAGAAUAAUUAAUAAG